UUUGUGACUCUUGGCAUCCGGAGACUUUCCCCUCGACCCAGUGGAGCCGUCAGGCCGGAGCCUCAGAGCCUUGACACCCAAGCACUGCCACGGAAGUCUCCCCCUUUGCCAAGCCUCGGGGACUGGUUUCUAAGACAACCGUGGGAACCACUGUGACGGGAGAAACCGCUUGUGCUUCGCGCAUGCGCAUUGGCUGGGCCGACUCGUUCUCCCCUCCUGGCAGUCAGGCUGCGUCCCCUUUAAAGAACGCCACCGCUGAGAACUGACCCUCACAUCUCCCUUCCUGAAUUUCUUUAGGGAAAGCAACAACCAUCCCUCCUUGAUAGGAGACGGGGAGGCCAACCCUUCUCUGCAGACCGUGAUCCUCACUAGACAGAGGAGCUCCAAACCUGCCCAUCUCAUCCCAUGCACCGACGGUGCCUGGCCUGGCUCCAAACUCCCGAAAGGAACUAUUUUACAGGUGCCAAAAAG
rnacentral:lncRNA from 1 species